AUCGCGUUAAUAUCUAUCUAUCAAUAGAAUGGCAACAUGGUGUGGGCGUGUCCAACAGGUAAACAAAUCGGAACGUGUUCUGUGAUCGCAUGCGGUAAUUCGAUUGGUUGUGAUACUAACCAUAAUGAUAUCCUGUGCUUCGGAUAGUCCAGCCUCUCCAAAUGUGUAAGGAAAUAGGGCAGAGUGUGCCCUUUGUUUCUGAUGAGCACGCCGACCACGACGGUCGGCUCUUUCACCUCUGCCAGCAAGCAUUGUUCCAGACUACAAACUAAAGGAAAUUAAUACUAAGAAUCGGGAACGCCGCCGCUCCGAUCGAUGCAUGAACUUGAGAUGUUUUGGCUCGUCUGCAACCAAGCCAACGCGGCUCCAGAUGUUUUCAGACGGCCAUGUUUUCAGGAUUUCAACAUGUGGCGGGAAUAAUUUAAAACGUACAUAAAAUUUAUUAUAGAAUGACUCUUGU